rnacentral:misc_RNA from 1 species
AAUGAACUGCUCUCACUGGCAGAUCGAUGAUGACCACUUCCCAUAGGACUGGCAGUCAAACACCUGUCAGGGGCCUGAGAACUCAACAAAGAAGCAAUAACUCCUGUUAUUUUCUCAAUCCAAUCCAUUUGGUCCAAGGCACUCUCUGCCUGCAAGGUGUAGCUCUUUGUAGGGGAGAUAAUCCUGAAGCAAAACCGCAGAUCUGAUUGGUCAGCAUCAACCUUUAUAGUUGAUGUCAAAAGGUUUACAGUGUGAUGAGCAACAGACUUUUCAUCGUGUACACCACCAUGAUAAUGGGACGAAAGCCAGCGACUAAGAAGUCCAGAACCAAGCUCUGAACUAUUUCUCUGGCCAGAAUGUUGACUACCUGACCCAGAUGGUUUUGUGUUCUGUUUGCGAUAGUAAUACAACAUU